UACAGAGGGUGCAAACGUUGCUCGGAAUCAUUGGGCGUAAAGCGCACGUAGGCGGCCCAGCAAGUGGGGAGUGAAAUCCCUCGGCUUAACUGAGGACGUGCGGAAGAAACUGCAAGGCUCGAGUCCGGGAGAGGGGGGUGGAAUUCCCAGUGUAGCGGUGAAAUGCGUAGAUAUUGGGAGGAACACCGGUGGCGAAGGCGGCCCCCUGGACCGGUACUGACGCUGAGGCGCGAAAGCGUGGGUAGCAAACGGG
rnacentral:rRNA from 1 species